rnacentral:rRNA from 1 species
GAUGAACGCUGGCGGCGUGCCUAAUACAUGCAAGUCGAGCGAACAGACGAGGAGCUUGCUCCUCUGAUGUUAGCGGCGGACGGGUGAGUAACACGUGGAUAACCUACCUAUAAGACUGGGAUAACUUCGGGAAACCGGAGCUAAUACCGGAUAACAUGUUGAACCGCAUGGUUCAACAGUGAAAGACGGUCUUGCUGUCACUUAUAGAUGGAUCCGCGCCGCAUUAGCUAGUUGGUAAGGUAACGGCUUACCAAGACAACGAUGCGUAGCCGACCUGAGAGGGUGAUCGGCCACACUGGAACUGAGACACGGUCCAGACUCCUACGGGAGGCAGCAGUAGGGAAUCUUCCGCAAUGGGCGAAAGCCUGACGGAGCAACGCCGCGUGAGUGAAGAAGGUCUUCGGAUCGUAAAACUCUGUUAUUAGGGAAGAACAAAUGUGUAAGUAACUAUGCACGUCUUGACGGUACCUAAUCAGAAAGCCACGGCUAACUACGUG